rnacentral:tRNA from 1 species
AGGGCUAUAGCUCAGUUAGGUAGAGCAUCUCGUUUACACACCGUACCUAGAAAGUCUACGGUUCAAAUCCGUAUAGCCCU